AGGAGGAACAACCCCAGUGGCGGGGCCAGCUCUGGAGCCCUGGAGUCAGCCUCCGCAGUAACUCCGGAGCUCUCCGUCUGCAGGGCCUGGAGGCUCCGGGGCGGG
rfam:Canis lupus familiaris chromosome 26, whole genome shotgun sequence.